AUUUCAACCCAAUUGGAUUAAAUAAGGAUUUAAUCCAAUCUUUAUGUAUUUUAUUUAUUGAUUCAUUUAUUUAUUUUUUCCUUCCAGAUUACCCUUACGAGAAUUUCCAGUACAAUGAUAAAUAGGAGUGAUGACAGCAGUCAUCCUUGCCUUAUUCCCUACAGCAAAGUAGGGGGAAAGCUUUCAGUCUUUCAUCAUUAAGUAUGGCGUCAGCUUUAGGUUUUUCGUGACUUUCUUUUAUCAGGGCAAGGAAGUUUCUUUUUAUUUCUUAUUUGUUGAUAGUUUUCUUUUAAAUUCACAGAUGGAUCUUAGAUUUUGUCAAGUGAUGUUCAUGCAUUUAUUUAUUUAUUUUUUAAGAGAUGGGGUCUCUCUAUGUUGCCCAGGCUGGAGUGCAGUGGCUAUUCACAGGUGCGAUCCCACUACUGAUCAGCACGGGAGUUUUGACCUGCUCCGUUUCCCACCUGGGCUAAUUUUUGUAUUUUUUAGUAGAGACGAGGGUUUCACCAUGUUGGCCAGGCUGAUCUCGAACUCCUCACCUCAGGUGAUCUGCCUGCCUCAGCCUCCCAAAGUGCUGGGAUUACAGGUGUGAGCUACUGUGCCUUACUACCAUUUAGUAUAUUCUUUCAAGGUAGCCAAAUAAUUAUAGUUCUGGAAAGGUCAACAUUUCCUCUGCUAUAAAAACAUUUUUAUUAUUUUCUCCCUAGCUAGUAAAAACAAAAUCAGCAGUCUUCAAUCCUCAGAGACUGACAGUUGUACUGGCAAAUGUCUAUUGUAUUUGCAUGUCUGAUUAUCUUCUUCCCAUUUUCCCCUUCUUGGCAUUUCCUGUCUUCAGUCUAGGCCUCUUGC
rnacentral:lncRNA from 1 species